rnacentral:rRNA from 1 species
AUUGAACGCUGGCGGAAUGCUUUACACAUGCAAGUCGAACGGCAGCACGGACUUCGGUCUGGUGGCGAGUGGCGAACGGGUGAGUAAUGUAUCGGAACGUGCCCAGUCGUGGGGGAUAACGUAGUGAAAAUUACGCUAAUACCGCAUACGAUCUAUGGAUGAAAGCGGGGGAUCGCAAGACCUCGCGCGAUUGGAGCGGCCGAUAUCAGAUUAGGUAGUUGGUGGGGUAAAGGCCCACCAAGCCAACGAUCUGUAGCUGGUCUGAGAGGACGAGCGACAACAGAGAAACGGAGACGCGGUCCAGACCCUAACGGGGGGCAGCAGGGGGAAAUUUUGGAAAAUGGGCGAAAGCCUGAUCCAGCCAUUCCGCGUGCAGGAAAAAGGCCCUCGGGUUUAAAACUGCUUUUGUACAGAAGGAAAAGGUUUCUACUAAUACUAGGAGCUCAUGACGGUACUGUAAGAAUAAGCACCGGCUAACUACGGGCCACCCGCCGCCGUAA